rnacentral:scRNA from 1 species
UCAGGGGGUAACACCAUGUCUUUGAAACUACCAC